GGUGUAGCUUUCUCUUAGAUUUCACAGACUCUCUUGAGAACUAAGAAGAAUGGAGAGGAAGAGGAGGAAGAAGGCUAGGUGUAAGAAAACUAUUUUCUCAUAUAUUCUCUUCAUAGGCGUCCAACUAUUGGACACCUUUUAUAGGGGGCAUUGGAUUAGGGUUAGAGGGAUGCACCACCAAUUUCCACGCCACAAAAUAUGGCAUCUCAAAUUUUUCACGCCAAGAGGAGUGCCAUGAAAAAGAAAUCAGAUAUGAUUCUUUCUCACAUGCACUUUUUUCUCAAUG
rnacentral:lncRNA from 1 species